rnacentral:rRNA from 1 species
AUGCCCCGCCACAGGAAGCGCCUCCACCUACCUAUGCCGAGAGAGGCAGAUGCGACGGCUACCACGGGAGGGCUGGCCCCUGCGGCGGAUGCGAACUACCACGAAGAUGGAUCGGAGCAGCCCCGCCUCCCGGCGUCGAGAUCUGUGAGGCCCCGGCCACUACGCGCCGGCCCCGCCAUGAAUCAGGUGGUCGUUGUCACUGUUGCCUCAAGCCAGGGCACCGUCAUCGCUGCCGCAGAUGCGGAACCCAGUGAGGAGCCCGAAGCGCGAUGUCGUCUUGGCAUCUGCCGAGUCUGGUGGUCGCCUGAAUCCCGUGCGCAAUCAUCUGCUCCUCGGCGGCUGCUCUUCGACAGCCACACGAAGCUCCUCCUCUUCUCUGAAACCUUGCAGUUCAUCACCGUGCCCUGUGCGUUCGUCGCCCCCCCGCGGGGUGCAGUCCAGCAACCAUGA